rnacentral:rRNA from 2 species
CAGCCGCCGCGGUAAAACCAGCACCUUAAGUGGUCAGGAUGAUUAUUGGGCCUAAAGCAUCCGUAGCCGGCUCUGUAAGUUUUCGGUUAAAUCUGUACGCUCAACGCACAGGCUGCCGGGAAUACUGCAGAGCUAGGGAGUGGGAGAGGUAGACGGUACUCGGUAGGAAGGGGUAAAAUCCUUUGAUCUAUUGAUGACCACCUGUGGCGAAGGCGGUCUACCAGAACACGUCCGACGGUGAGGGAUGAAAGCUGGGGGAGCAAACCGGAUUAGAUACCCGGGUAGUCCCAGCUGUAAACUAUGCAAACUCAGUGAUGCAUUGGCUUGUGGCCAAUGCAGUGCUGCAGGGAAGCCGUUAAGUUUGCCGCCUGGGAAGUACAUACGCAAGUAUGAAACUUAAAGGAAUUGGCGGGGGAGCAC